rnacentral:rRNA from 1 species
UGGGAGCUUGCUCCCUGAUGUUAGCGGCGGACGGGUGAGUAACACGUGGGUAACCUGCCUGUAAGACUGGGAUAACUCCGGGAAACCGGGGCUAAUACCGGAUGGUUGUCUGAACCGCAUGGUUCAGACAUAAAAGGUGGCUUCGGCUACCACUUACAGAUGGACCCGCGGCGCAUUAGCUAGUUGGUGAGGUAACGGCUCACCAAGGCGACGAUGCGUAGCCGACCUGAGAGGGUGAUCGGCCACACUGGGACUGAGACACGGCCCAGACUCCUACGGGAGGCAGCAGUAGGGAAUCUUCCGCAAUGGACGAAAGUCUGACGGAGCAACGCCGCGUGAGUGAUGAAGGUUUUCGGAUCGUAAAGCUCUGUUGUUAGGGAAGAACAAGUGCCGUUCAAAUAGGGCGGCACCUUGACGGUACCUAACCAGAAAGCCACGGCUAACUACGUGCCAGCAGCCGCGGUAAUACGUAGGUGGCAAGCGUUGUCCGGAAUUAUUGGGCGUAAAGGGCUCGCAGGCGGUUUCUUAAGUCUGAUGUGAAAGCCCCCGGCUCAACCGGGGAGGGUCAUUGGAAACUGGGGAACUUGAGUGCAGAAGAGGAGAGUGGAAUUCCACGUGUAGCGGUGAAAUGCGUAGAGAUGUGGAGGAACACCAGUGGCGAAGGCGACUCUCUGGUCUGUAACUGACGC